UACAGAGGUCCCAAGCGUUGUUCGGAUUCACUGGGCGUAAAGGGUGCGUAGGUGGCGAGGUAAGUCGGAUGUGAAAUCUCGGAGCUCAACUCCGAAACUGCAUUGGAAACUACCUUGCUCGAGGGUUGGAGGGGGGACUGGAAUGCUUGGUGUAGCAGUGAAAUGCGUAGAUAUCAAGCGGAACACCAGUGGCGAAGGCGAGUCCCUGGACAACUCCUGACACUGAGGCACGAAAGCUAGGGGAGCAAACAGG
rnacentral:rRNA from 1 species